rnacentral:rRNA from 1 species
GGCGGACGGGUGAGUAAUGCAUAGGAACCUGCCUGUUAGUGGGGGACAACUUAGGGAAACUUAAGCUAAUACCGCAUACGCCCCACGGGGGAAAGCGGGGGACCUUUUAGGCCUCGCGCUAACAGAUGGGCCUAUGUUGGAUUAGCUAGUUGGUGGGGUAAGGGCCCACCAAGGCGACGAUCCAUAGCAGGCCUGAGAGGGUGGCCAGCCACACUGGGACUGAGACACGGCCCAGACUCCUACGGGAGGCAGCAGUGGGGAAUAUUGGACAAUGGGCGCAAGCCUGAUCCAGCAAUACCGCGUGUGUGAAGAAGGCCUGAGGGUUGUAAAGCACUUUCAAUGGGGAGGAAAAAGCGCAGGCGAACACCCUGCGUAUUGACAUUACCCAUACAAGAAGCACCGGCUAACUCCGUGCCAGCAGCCGCGGUAAUACGGAGGGUGCGAGCGUUAAUCGGAAUUACUGGGCGUAAAGCGUGCGUAGGCGGCCUGCCAAGCCAGGUGUGAAAGCCCCGGGCUCAACCUGGGAACGGCACUUGGAACUGGCAAGCUAGAGUUGGGUAGAGGGGAGUGGAAUUUCAGGUGUAGCGGUGAAAUGCGUAGAUAUCUGAAGGAACACCAGUGGCGAAGGCGGCUCCCUGGACCCAAACUGACGCUGAGGUACGAAAGCGUGGGUAGCAAACAGGAUUAGAUACCCUGGUAGUCCACGCCGUAAACGAUGUCGACUAGCCGUUGAGCCCUUUUAGGGCUUAGUGGCGCAGCUAACGCAUUAAGUCGACCGCCUGGGGAGUACGGCCGCAAGGUUAAAACUCAAAUGAAUUGACGGGGGCCCGCACAAGCGGUGGAGCAUGGGGUUUUUAUUCGAUGCAACGCGAAGAACCUUACCUACCCUUGACAUCCUCAGAUUUGGCAGAGAUGCCUUAGUGCCUUCGGGAACUGAGAGACAGUGCUGCAUGCUGUCGUCAGCUCGUGUUUUUGAAAAAUGUUGUAAGUCCCGCACGAGCGCACCCUUGCCCUAGUGCAUCAUGAGUGGCACUCUAGGGA